GGCAGCGUGAUGUAGUGGUUUGAUCUAUGGACUAUAAUUCUGGAGCCCAGGGUUCGGAUCCCUGCUCAGCCA